rnacentral:pre_miRNA from 1 species
CUUGUUCUGGCUGGAGAGGCUGUGAGCAGCAGGCACAGCAAACCAAGUACACGUGCGUCUGCUCGGGCACCUUCCUCGGCCUAACCAU